UACAGAGGGUGCAAGCGUUAAUCGGAAUUACUGGGCGUAAAGCGCGCGUAGGUGGUUUGUUAAGUUGGAUGUGAAAGCCCCGGGCUCAACCUGGGAACUGCAUCCAAAACUGGCAAGCUAGAGUACGGUAGAGGAGAGUGGAAUUCCCGGUGUAGCAGUGAAAUGCGUAGAGAUCGGGAGGAACAUCAGUUGCGAAGGCGGCUCUCUAGUACGGUACUGACGCUGAGACGCGAAAGCGUGGGGAGCGAACAGG
rnacentral:rRNA from 1 species